rnacentral:rRNA from 1 species
AACGAACGCUGGCGGCAUGCCUAACACAUGCAAGUCGAACGAGACCUUCGGGUCUAGUGGCGCACGGGUGCGUAACGCGUGGGAACCUGCCCUUAGGUUCGGAAUAACUCCCCGAAAGGGGUGCUAAUACCGGAUAAUGUCUUCGGACUAAAGAUUUAUCGCCUUUGGAUGGGCCCGCGUUGGAUUAGCUAGUUGGUAGGGUAAAAGCCUACCAAGGCGACGAUCCAUAGCUGGUCUGAGAGGAUGAUCAGCCACACUGGGACUGAGACACGGCCCAGACUCCUACGGGAGGCAGCAGUGGGGAAUAUGGGACAAUGGGCGAAAGCCUGAUCCAGCAAGGCCGCGUGAGUGAUGAAGGCCUUAGGGUUGUAAAGCUCUUUUACCCGGGAUGAUAAUGACAGUACCGGGAGAAUAAGCGCCGGCUAACUCCGU